rnacentral:lncRNA from 1 species
UGUCAAAUGAUUUUUCCUGAUCUUGACACUGCAUUCUUUUUUCCAAAGGUUGGAAGUUAACUCUUCAAGAUACCAGACUUCAUUUUUAUUGGGAUAUUAAUUCUGAUUAAAUAACAGAAAUCCAUCGACCCUUCAUCUCGAUCCAUAAGAGAGAUAGUAGAAAAGCUGGAGAAAAGAAUAUUCUAAGGGGAAAAAAAGAACAAGGCACCUAUACCUUUAAAGAAAGAACUGAGGACGACGUCUCCUUGCAUCUACUAAUGCACUCUGUGGAAGGUACAGGAGUACAUAGCAGCAAUUAACAGAGUGGGACAUCAGCAUCUGAUACUCUGAGUUCUGAGAAUUCUUUGAAAACCAGUUUAAAGAAAAUUUGGUAUGUGUUCUUACACUCAAAGAAUAAGAACUAGUCUUAAUUUGCUACUAUGUGUACCUUACCUGAAAAUGUCUCCCG